UGAUUCUAUUCAUAUUUAUUUGAAAACAACAAUCCAUUUUUCCACUUCUACUGCGAUUCCUUUUUGCGAGGUCAUACAUGUUAUAUGAUACAUGUCAUAUGAACCAAUUCCACUGAACACCAUCACAAAAGUUACCCUUUAAAUGCACGGUUACCUUUUUUUUGUCCUUUUUCUUCGUGUAUCGUUGUCAUUUCUAUAGGAUGACUUGUGCUUUGAUAUCUUUGAAAGAGGCAGAGGGACAUUUUAAAGACAUCGUCGUCCUCAUGAUACGUGUGAAUAACAGCCAGGGACGAUCCCAAUAGAAAAAAGUCAUAAGAAGAGGAUAUACUGGUUCCAAUACACGAUACACACUACAGAGACACACACUCACAUUGCAGCCUGCCCGACUCCGCCCAAACCUGUCACCUCGACCUCCACCUGCUCCACCUGCUCCGCCUGCUCCUCCUUUUCAGCUUUUUCGGUUCAGGAUGAGAACGCUAGUUGUUGCAACAAGCACACACCUCCUGUUUAGGCUAAAUAUUGCUAAAUAAGUGCAGCAGAGGAGGAGGAGGAGGAGGGAAAAAAUAAAAAUAAAAAUAAGCAGUGCAGAAGAAAAGCCUCAAUGCCUCGAGCGUUAAAUGUACGAUGACCGUUGUUGUUUUAGGGCAGUUUUGGGGUUCAGAGCUCAAAGCGUUUCUCCCCCUAAACGUUUGCUGCAAAAGCAGAAACCGCGGAUCAGAGUGCCGGGACGUCCCACAGCAGAGGAGAAUACAAGGAAAUAUAAGGUGCAUUAGUCAGAGAGUUUGGUGCACGUUCGUCAUCGCGUCCCCCCCCAACAAAUGAAGCCAAUAAAUAAGAGUUCCGCUGGGUUUAUAAUGUGCCAAAAGAAAUGUGUCUCCUGAAUAUAUUUACACUGGAAUGUUGUUCACAAGCAAAGACGCCCCAAAUAAUCGGGAUCUCGAUAUUCCUGUUAGGGACGACUGUGUCUGUGUGUGUGUCUGUGUGUGUCUGUGUGUGUAUGUCUGUGUUUGUGUGUGGCUCAAAAGCAACAAGGAUGGAGCAGAACGUCCGGCGACGCGCUGAGAGCGAGUCCGUGCUUCAGACGGGAAAUAAUACCACGGAAAAGUGAGUUGAACAUAUAUAUAUAUAUAUAUAUAUAUAUAAUCAGAACCCGGGACAGAGCAGCAGAGAAAAAUGUACAAGCAAUCUAGCGUCCCCUCAUGUGACGUCCUCCUA
ensembl:lncRNA